AUGGAAAAAUGGGUUGUCCGCAUUGCAUGGGAUACACCAAAGCAUUUACGUUGGAUAAAGGUGGGAAAAGCUCAUGGUGAACAAGAACAAGAACAAGGAACAACAUCAACAACACCAACACCAACAAUAGCAGAAGCCGUUACUGUCAAACUUUCCAGCAAUAACUCUAAACUAAGAGUCUGUUAUUGGGAGGAGGCUUAA